AGAGUUUGAUCAUGGCUCAGGACGAACGCUGGCGGCGCGCCUCAUACAUGCAAGUCGAGCGUGAAGCGGGACUUCGGUCCCGUGGAAAGCGGCGAACGGGUGCGUAACACGUGAGCAACCUGCCCCAAAGACUGGGAUAACCCGGGGAAACCCGGGCUAAUACCGGAUGUCCUCCUCCGAUCGCAUGGUGGGAAGAGGAAAUGUUCAGGCGCUUUGGGAUGGGCUCGCGGUCUAUCAGCUUGUUGGUGGGGUAACGGCCUACCAAGGCGACGACGGAUAGCUGGUCUGAGAGGACGAUCAGCCACACUGGGACUGAGACACGGCCCAGACUCCUACGGGAGGCAGCAGUAGGGAAUCUUGCGCAAUGAGGGAAACCUUGACGCAGCGACGCCGCGUGCGGGAUGAAGGCCUUCGGGUUGUAAACCGCUUUCAGCAGGGACGAAAUUGACGGUACCUGCAGAAGAAGGCCCGGCCAACUACGUGCCAGCAGCCGCGGUA
rnacentral:rRNA from 1 species